rnacentral:rRNA from 1 species
UACGGAGGAUGCGAGCGUUAUCCGGAUUUACUGGGUGUAAAGGGCGAGUAGGCGGAUGAGCAAGUCAGAUGUGAAAUACCGGGGCUUAACCCCGGGGCUGCAUUUGAAACUGCUUAUCUUGAGUAUCGGAGAGGUAAUCGGAAUUCCCGGUGUAGCGGUGGAAUGCGUAGAUAUCGGGAGGAACACCAGUGGCGAAGGCGGCCUGCUGGACUGUAACUGACACUGAGGCAUGAAAGCGUGGGGGGCAAAC